rnacentral:rRNA from 1 species
AUUGAACGCUGGCGGCAGGCCUAACACAUGCAAGUCGAGCGGAGCGGCGGACGGGUGAGUAAUGCCUAGGAAUCUGCCUGGUAGUGGGGGAUAACGUCCGGAGACGGGCGCUAAUACCGCAUACUAUCAGAUGAGCCUAGGUCGGUUUAGCUAGUUGGUGGGGUAAAGGCCUUCCAAGGCGACGAUCCGUAACUGGUCUGAGAGGAUGAUCAGUCACACUGGAACUGAGACACGGUCCAGACUCCUACGGUAGGCAGCAGUGGGGUAUAUUGGAGAAUGGGCGUAAGCCUGAUCCAGCCAGUCCGCUUGUGUGAAGAAGUUCUUCGGAUUGUAAAGCACUUUAAGUGGGUAGGCGUUUCCAACAGAAUAAGCACCGGCUAACUUCGUGCCCGCAGCCGCGGUAAUAC